UAUGUUAAGGGAAGUCAGUGGAUUUUCUAUCUUCAAAAUAGUUUUCCUCUUGGAGCCUCUGUCUCGUUUAGGUGAGACAGACUGCCUGUUCUUUCUGUCAGUGAGAAUUCUUAGCAGUCAAUCAACAACCAAGGAUCAUGGAACCCAAGGUUUUAGAGCUGGAAGAUUUCUUGAGUACUUACCCUGUGCCGAUUCCUGUGCUGAGACUUAUGAGAUUUAAAUCUAUGAUCUAUGGAUUCUACAAGCACGUUGUAACCCAUCUGUAGAAGCAUUCCACCUGCAAAAAUCCCUAAGCCUUACACCCAGACGUUAACUGGAACUUCUAGCUAUGAGAGAUAUCAGGAGACAGAAGGGAUCUUAUGCCUUUGUUUCUGCAACAACAGCCCUCAUGAAUCACCUCCUUUCUAAUCCCAAGUGCUGGUCACGAAUAUUGUAGCCCCAAGCCAACAAUUAUAAUGAAGUUUUCUUCAUAGCAGCAAGUGAUGAAUGCAUUACUUGGAGCUCUGAGUAAUUUCUGGCACCUUAGACCCCAGUGGGGGGGCUUCUGAUUCAUGUGGCCCUAGGCCAGAAGAUAUGAGGGAAGGCUCCUUCUUUUACUGCAGAUACAAGAGUACUCCAUCUCCCACGUCCACGAUUUCGCUGGUCCCUGUGCCUGGAAUGUACUCCCUCUUUACCUCUACCUGACAGAAUCCCUCAUUACUUUUAAACAGGUCAUAUACUAUUUUCUACAUAAAUCCUUUCCUGAUCUCCCCUCAAUUGCUCCCUAACUACCUUGUAUUAAUUUGCAUUAUUCUCUUUAUUUUUGUUCUAUGUAUCUUAUAUAUGUUUAUUCUAUAUCGUCUAUGUAUGUAACAUUGCCUCCCCAGUUGGAACAUAAAGUUCCUGAGAGUAUAUUCUUUGUAUAUAGGGGAAGUAAGUGGUACAGUGGAUAGAGCACUGGGCCUAGAGCCAAGAAGACCUGAAUUCA